UUCUGACUCUUUCAUUUGUAUGUACUAUCCCUUUGUAUCAUAAUUUUCUAACUUGCCUCAAAUACUUUGUAAAACGAUAAAUACAUAAAUAUACAUGUGAUAGAUGGUACUUGCAACACUGUAUUAUAGUUAUUUUCUUAUCCAUGUCUUUUGUAUUGGACAGUGGUCGUCUUGAGGGCCAGGACUUUGUUUUACAUCUCCAGUGUCUAGCAUACUAUUUGGGUCAUCUCAUUAGCAUUAGCACCCACUGAGCUAUGGAUUCAGUGCUGAGCUGAGCACUGAGCUAAACUGCUUAAACAAUAGUUCAUUUAACCUUUACUAGGGUUUGGCCUCUAGAUGGCGCUCUAGGCCUCCCUGACUCCUGCUCUCCCCUCCCUCCAAAGGCCCUAAGAAGUGUAGAUACAGAGGGUCAAGUUACAGGACAGUUACUAAUCCAUGCUCAUGUUCCUUCUCUCUCAGUCUCUCUCAUCCAUGUUUUAGAAAUUUCCUCAUUUCUCCUACAGAAUGGCUGUCAACAGUAGCGAUUCUCUGACUCUAGGAAUACGACGUUGCUCUGCGCACAGAAUUACAGUAGUUAGCCCUGACCAGUGAGAAAGGAGGGGAGGGCCGACUGGAGCGCUGGGUUGCUAUGAAAGCAGCAUCUUAACACUUCAAACCUUCUUCCCCCUUCCCAGCGCAGGUGCUGAAAUUGUCAGAGUGAAAUAAACCCCUCUUCCCCGGUACAGCACAGCGGGGACUGGGGAUGGGGAAGUGUUAAGCUUUGAGUCCCGGGUGCGUGCCAAGGCCUCAAAGAACGUGAAAUCAGCCUGGAGGGGUAUUGAGUGGGCGAUCCUCCCCAACCCGGCCACAGCGGAGCCACUGCAGAACAGGCUACGAAGCUGCCCCCCCUCCCUCGGCCGCAGUUCCAGGAGGGGCUCCCCCUGCUCCCAGUAGCCAGGGCGAGGCUCCGAGGAUGCCGAACGGCUUCCCGUCUGAAGAGAAACACCAGGUAAAGCAAGAACUCCAGAUGGCCUGCUCCUCCACACAGGGAUGCACACUCCUGCAGGUAGCACCCCCUUCCUGCCCACCGCUCGGUGAUCAGAGGAAGAAAUAUCGCUGACUCCCUUUCAGUCCUGGAGACUUAUUGCUUUAUAACUGAUGGAAAACAGGACUUUAGAAGCUCUUUUUUUCUCAUUUUUUCUUAAUAGAAGAAAUUGAGGAAUGAGUUAACCAUCACAUCAGGACUUGCAUGAAACCGUCAUGAAAGCAUUAGGACUAUUUCCCGUUUGGAAGAGGCAAUUUGUCACAGCUCCCUGUCCCACCACUUCUCAUUUCCUCAGUUUAGGUGCCGAUGAGCCCGACGAGCACAUCAGCAGAGGUCUGCCAAGUGCUUUGGGCCAUGUUCUGUUGCCUAGGCUGGCAAUGCAGCUCAUGAUUAGAAAUUA